GUGUCAGCCGCCGCGGUAAUACGUAGGGUGCGAGCGUUAAUCGGAAUUACUGGGCGUAAAGCGUGCGCAGGCGGUUUGUUAAGAUAGGCGUGAAAUCCCCGGGCUCAACCUGGGAACUGCGUUUAUGACUGGCAGGCUAGAGUAUGGCAGAGGGGGGCGGAAUUCCUAGUGUAGCGGUGAAAUGCGUAGAUAUUAGGAGGAACACCAGUGGCGAAGGCGGCUUCCUGGCAUACAACUGACGCUGAGGCGCGAAAGCGUGGGGAGCAAACGGGAUUAGAUACCCCGGUAGUCCACGCCGUAA
rnacentral:rRNA from 1 species